CAAAAGAUCGAAUGGGGAGAUUCAUCGUCAGCUUUUUCGGCUUGCGUGUCACUCGCGAUGCCUGCCUUGGAGCGUUAAUAGCGCUUUUUUGGGCGAGCACGCGGUGGCUGCGUAAUUUAUUGUCCGUUGAAGUCGGCGUGCACUUCUCCCCUAGUAGGACGUCGCGACCCGUUGAGUGUCGGUCAAAGGCCCGCUGCGGUCGCCUGCCGGUUCGGCGAGCUUUCGGGCUCGUCGUUGCCGGUAGACCCGCGGUCGCCCGACCGACUGCUCGGCGGUAUAAAUUGUCUUUGAAAGUUCAAUGGUAUCGAGCCGCAUGAUUUUGUUCGAAUGCGUUCUGGCUCGUCGGCAGGUGAGCCUCGACUCGGAUUUUACGGACCUAGCGCCGUUGUCGAGCGUUUGGUUUGCCGUUUUGGCCGACGAUGUCCUCGGACGGGCUCUAUAAAGGGACACUUCGGUGUUCCUUUUGUUACCAGUCAGCGACGCUACUGCUUUGGGUACUUUCAGGACCCGUCUUGAAACACGGACCAAGGAGUCUAACAUGUGCGCGAGUCAUUGGGACUUGUUAAAAAUAAGCCUAAAGGCGCAAUGAAAGUGAAGGUCCGCUCUGAUGCGCGACCGAGGGAGGAUGGCUUCUCCUCGUAAAACAGGGGCGGCCCGCACUCCCGGGGCGUCUCGUGCUCAUUGCGAGCUGAGGCGCACCCAGAGCGUACACGUUGGGACCCGAAAGAUGGUGAACUAUGCCUGGUCAGGACGAAGUCAGGGGAAACCCUGAUGGAGGUCCGUAGCGAUUCUGACGUGCAAAUCGAUCGUCGGAACUGGGUAUAGGGG
rnacentral:rRNA from 1 species